ACUCCAGGAGCCACAGUUUGCUCUGUGUGUGCAUCUGGGUGCUGACAAGCCAUUGCAUUCAGAGCGAGCUGUUUGCACUGGUGU
ensembl:miRNA gga-mir-1702 gga-mir-1702